rnacentral:rRNA from 1 species
AUACGGAGGGGACUAGCGUUGUUCGGAAUUACUGGGCGUAAAGCGUACGUAGGCGGAUCGGAAAGUAUAGGGUGAAAUCCCAGGGCUUAACCCUGGAACUGCCUUAUAAACUCCCGGUCUUGAGUUCGAGAGAGGUGAGUGGAAUUCCGAGUGUAGAGGUGAAAUUCGUAGAUAUUCGGAGGAACACCAGUGGCGAAGGCGGCUCACUGGCUCGAUACUGACGCUGAGGUACGAAAGUGUGGGGAGCAAACAGGAUUAGAUACCCUAGUAGUCC